rnacentral:rRNA from 1 species
UGGGGAAUUUUGGACAAUGGGCGAAAGCCUGAUCCAGCAAUGCCGCGUGUGUGAAGAAGGCCUUCGGGUUGUAAAGCACUUUUGUCCGGAAAGAAAUCCUUGGCUCUAAUACAGUCGGGGGAUGACGGUACCGGAAGAAUAAGCACCGGCUAACUACGUGCCAGCAGCCGCGGUAAUACGUAGGGUGCAAGCGUUAAUCGGAAUUACUGGGCGUAAAGCGUGCGCAGGCGGUUUGCUAAGACCGAUGUGAAAUCCCCGGGCUCAACCUGGGAACUGCAUUGGUGACUGGCAGGCUAGAGUAUGGCAGAGGGGGGUAGAAUUCCACGUGUAGCAGUGAAAUGCGUAGAGAUGUGGAGGAAUACCGAUGGCGAAGGCAGCCCCCUGGGCCAAUACUGACGCUCAUGCACGAAAGCGUGGGGAGCAAACAGGAUUAGAUACCCCUGGUAGUCCACGCCCUAAACGAUGUCAACUAGUUGUUGGGGAUUCAUUUCCUUAGUAACGUAGCUAACGCGUGAAGUUGACCGCCUGGGGAGUACGGUCGCAAGAUUAAAACUCAAAGGAAUUGACGGGGUCAUAGCUGUUUCCU